UUGGAUUUUCUGGAUGGAUUAAGUAAGUACGAAGCUUUGUUGUUGCUACUUUAAUUUGCAGAAACAAAAGAUCUGGUCUCUGGUCAAAAUCUGCGUUGGCUUCACCUCCUCACCACCACCACAGGUCGAACUCACUUCACCUUGCUCUUAUCUGCUCUCUUCUUCUCGUCAUCUUCUAAUAAAUUUAUUACUGAUUUUUGUUUUGUUUACAGUUUAUUAAAGAGCAGGGAAGGAAAAGCAUUGGUGUGACAUAGCGGAGUCUCCGGUCAAGCGUGGUGCGGCAGUGGUGCAAGCCGGUGGUGGUCGUGCGGUGGAGAUGCGAGCAGCGGCGGAGACUGAAGAAGUUAAUUAGGUUUAGUUAGGGUUAAUUAGGUUUUGGUUUAGAUUUCUAAACCGGUUUUGUCUGUGAACCAGGUUUAAUAAUUAAACCGAUAUCAUUUGUAAACAAAUUUUUUUAAUAAUAUAUUAAUUUCAUUUUAAAAUCAGUUAUAAGAAAA
rnacentral:lncRNA from 1 species